rnacentral:rRNA from 1 species
UGGUGUGAAUUGCAGAAUCCCGUGAACCAUCGAGUCUUUGAACGCAAGUUGCGCCCGAAGCCUUCUGGCCGAGGGCACGUCUGCCUGGGCGUCACGCAUCGCGUCUCCCUCAACCCACCCUCCGUGGGGAAAGGAGAGGAGGAUGGCCUCCCAUGCCUCACCGGGCGUGGCUGGCCUAAAUACGGAGCCUCAGGUUACGGACUGCUGCGGCGAUUUGGUGGUAGACAA